rnacentral:rRNA from 1 species
UACGAAGGGGGCUAGCGUUGCUCGGAAUCACUGGGCGUAAAGGGUGCGUAGGCGGGUCUUUAAGUCAGGGGUGAAAUCCUGGAGCUCAACUCCAGAACUGCCUUUGAUACUGAGAUCUUGAGUUCGGGAGAGGUGAGUGGAACUGCGAGUGUAGAGGUGAAAGUUCGUAGAUAUUCGCAAGAACACCAGUGGCGAAGGCGGCUCACUGGCCCGAUACUGACGCUGAGGCACGAAAGCGUGGGGAGCAAACAGGG